rnacentral:lncRNA from 1 species
AAAAGGAAAUUUUUAGAAUAAAAUAAUAUUUUAUUAAUUAAAUAAUAUUAAAAUAUUAAUAUUUUAUUCAGUGUCAAAAUUUUUCAUGAAGGAGUAUAUGGGCAACCUAAGUGGGGAAGAAGAAGAAUGAGAAAAAUUUUGGAGAAAAAUGACGUUAAUGGGGUCGCGUGUCUUUAUUAAGUAAAGAUAGCACAAGUAAAUAAAUAUUUUAAAUAUUAUGGAGACACCACGUUAGAGUACAAACUUCAUACUUUGUUUGUACAUGUGUAGAAAAAGAUAAUAUUAGGAAAUUGGAGUUAAAUGAGUGUUGGGAGGACUAAGUUAAGAUGGAAAGAAACUUAAAGGGAAAAACAGUAAUUUUGGAUAAAGUUUGGUCAAAGCUUCCAAAAGAAGCUUUGACUCUCAUCUUUAUCAACCCAAAACCGUCCUUAUCCUCCCAGCAAGAUAUUUUCUUCUUCAUUCUUGAAGCUUCCAACGCCAUUCUCUCAUUCUCCCAUGGAAAGCUAAUUUUCUUUCAUUUACUUUCCUUCUUUUCUUUUCAUUUCUUUUCUCUUCUUGCUUCUUUCUUCUCCUAACUUCUUGUGCACCAAAGUUACUGUCAUGACCCGGCACUCCCCUCAAGCCAGUGACAACCGUCGCGGUGUCUUGAUCGACACUCAUUGCUCGGAAUGUCAACCAAAAUCCUGCAAGGCUUUAAUAUUAGUUUCUCAUUUCCCCUGUGAGUAACUGUUACCAAAUAUCAUGUUCUAAAAGAUUUGAAGCUAUUUCCAACUUAAAUCAAUAAAAAAAAUGAUUUCUAUCUCAUAGAGGUAUUUUGGUUAUUUUUUUCCAAAAAUCUCGAAACCAGCUAAAAAUGUAGUAUGCGAGUGGAAAACACAUAUUUCAUAAUCAAAAAUAAGUUUAGAUGCCUAAAACAUUCAUUUAAAAUGAAAUUAUGACUAUUUGAAUAUAAUAAAAAUAUUCAAUAAAAUAUUCUAUUUUCUUAUAAAACAAUAUUUAUAGAAUUACCAGUAAAUAAAUUUUAUAGCGUAAAAGCUAAAUAAAUUCAUACAUACUGUAAUACAGAUAACCAAAGUAUAAAAUUAAUUUACAGUGACACGUGGGCCCACGAAUGACUAAAAGUAUCAAAAGUGGCAAACCUACAGUUUUUGAGGAUGCAAGUCCAAUUGUAGCCCUUAACAAAGUGAGCUAUCUACCGACUAUCCUGAGCCUAAAAUGGGUGGAAAGGAGGGUGGUGAGAUUAUAUAAUCCCAGUGAGUAAACAAAUACCAUCUAAAAUAUCUAAAACUGAGUAAAUGGAAACAGAUAAAAUAGAUUAGCAUAAAAAUGAUUCUCAGCAUUUUGAACUCAUUUUAAUAAGAUAAAAUAGAUUCAUUUCACCAAAAUAAACAACGAGGCUUAUGAUUUCCUGAAAAGUUUGGCUCGUGCCAAAAUCAUUCUCAUACUCAAUUAUCAGGGAUACCUUGACCGAGGGCUAUCCCAACUGAGUCGGCCAAGGCUGUUAAAAAGUCAUGUACGCAUAAAUCAUGUUUUUUUUUUUAUUUUGAAAACAUAGUCGUUCCUUGGCAUUGGCUGCGUUCACCCUCACGUGGUGGUUUGGCGUGAAGUGAACUCUAAAGUUUUAACCUCAGGAGUUAUCCAACCGCGCCUCUCAUACUUAGGUAUGAAUAUAAUAGGGUUACCGUGCCCCUCAAUAGGCUGGUCCAUGGAACCCGUCCAUUGCAACGACCAAUUUAUAACCCACCAAUUCAAUAAAAUUCAACAGCAUGACAUGGCAAUUAUUUUAUUUUACAGCCUCUCAAGGCAAAUCAACAGUUCAUACAUUUUCAACACAAAUACCAAUUCAACCAUUCAUGCCAAUAUUAUCAUAAGCCAUUCAAUUCAAACCAUGAUUUAUAACACAGCAAUUAGUCUCCAAUUACUCCAUUUUCAAAGCCAUCAUUCAAUUUCAAGACAAUUUUAUAAAAUCAUUUCAUUUAAUCACAUUUUGCUUAUAAAACAUAAAGAUUUACCAUUUAAACUCAUUUUCCAUAAAAUCACAAAAACGAAUUAAAAUUCACUUUAGAUAAUCAAGAUGAUGAUAAGGUUACUCACUGUAAUGGGAAUCGAAUUUCGAGUACUCCGAUUCUUGAUCCUCGAUUUCUAUCUCUUUACUUUUGUCAAAAUGCUCACCACAUAGACAAUACACGACACAUAAUUCAAUAUACUGUGUCAUACCAUUAUAAAUCUAUUUCAGGCUCUUUACUAAUGCAUGAAAUGGGAUGUGAAACGCUCGGGUAACCAUCUAAAUAUGGUGUUCAGUAUAAGUUCAAUUGUGUACCUAAAUAAAAUGAUAUUGGCCUAAUUCGGUCUGUCACCCGAUUAAUUGGCCAAUAUGUCCAAUUCAACUCCAAAUAAUUCCAUUUUUAUCCCAAUACUCCAAAUCAUCAAACACAAAUUAAAUAACCUGAAAUAUGGCAAAAUCAUCCUCACAUUUUCUCUUGGAAAUUUCGGCCAUGGAGGGUUCACUAACAAUAUAAUUUUUCAAGCUUGAUUCUCACACCAUAAAUCACUAAUUCUUAACCAAAUCACUUGAAAUAAAAUCAAAAUCAUCAUCAAUAUUCCACAUGGAGAAUUCGGCCAAUGAUGGGUUAUGGAAGAACAUGAAAUUUUCUUGCUUGAUUUUCAUGCUACACAUCAUUAACUAACUAAAAACACUAAAAUACAUUGAAAUCUAACCAAAUCAAGCAUCAAACCUCCCUCUAAGUGUUCGGCCAGCAAGAGAUUCAUCAUGAUUUCAUAUGAUUCAACCAUGAAAAAUAAGAAAAAAUGCUUACGAAAAAGAGAUCUCAAGCUUAAUUGAAAAAUCUUACCUUUUUUUCACUUGUUUCCUUGAAUUUUCACACUUUUCCUUUGAAUUUUUCCACCUAGAGUUUUGUUCUUCCUUUUUCUUCCUUUGUUCUUGCUUUGGC